AGCAUACUGAAUUCUAUAGUAAAAUAGCAUUAUAAAUGAUUGAAGUUUAAGACAAAAAACAGAUCUGAAGUCAAAUAUCCUUUUCCAGUGAUGACAGGGGCCUGAUGCUGAAGGAACUUGAGUAUCACCAUUGGGGGGAGCCAAACAACUCUCUCAUGCUACCAGAGGACUGUACUAAAGACUAAGGAAGAAACAGAGACAGAAUUACUCCAAAAGGAAAAAAAAAGGGCGAAAAAGAUUAAUGGGUACAUGAUUUACAUUGCUUGUAUUGGGGACAAGGAGGAGGCCCUAUCUUCAGGACACAUGGAACAUGAACACCAGUUCAGGCCUUACUUCUGACAUUCCUCAGAUGAUAGUCAGAAUUGAGACUACAUCAUUUGGAACUUCCCUUCAGAGACUCUGUUUACCACAACCAAGACAUGAUUCCAG
rnacentral:lncRNA from 1 species